AAACAGCCACCGCCCAAACCCAGACUCCAGAGCACAUCCCAGCACAGAGCUAGACCUCUGCACCAGUUUGUCAAUCCUGCUCCUGUCCCUGUCCGUGCAUCCGCUCCCUCAGCAGGCCACUGCAAAGAAAAAGGCAGAUGCUACCAGAGUAUCAUAGAAUGGUCUUAACAGAGUCCAGCAGACUCCGAAGGACCUCAGUCUCCUCAGCAGGUGGGGUCGACUCUGGCCCUUCUUAUACAGGACGUCUGUAUUUGUAAUAAAUUUGUUUUUAUUUUCUCUAGACUCGCUUUUAUUGAGUUUAGUUUCAGUUAGUUUUUAGAGUGAGUUUUCUCAUUUCAGUUUAGCUUCUUUUUUCUUUUUUUUUGAAAAUGUUUCGUUUUAGUUCAGUUUCUAUUAGUUUUAGUUUUUAUUAAUUAUUAUUUCAUGAAGGGAAUAUGUCAGGGGCCAGAUUUCAGAAACACAGUACAGGUAAUACAGUAAAAACACAACUUUAUUUUAAAAGCAGUUGACUCAGUCUUGUAGACAUCCAACGUCUCAAUAAGACAUCUAUCAAAGCCUUAUAUAGCAAGUUUUAAAUAUAUAUUCGAUCUAUCCUUCAAGCUCAGGAGCUUACGGGUCCUGCACAGAAUCUUAGCUGUUCCUAGGACUGCAGUCUUCUGGACAGAGAUCUCAGGUGUUGUUCCUGGGCUCUUCUUCGCUUGUCUACCACCACUAUGUCCGAUUGGUUAGCCACCAACAUUUUGUCCGUCUGUAUCUAGGAGUCCCACAGAAUCUUAGCUCAGUCAUUCUUGACCAACCAUUUUGACCUCAGGACUUCCAGGCCAUACACUCCACAGAUGGUCCUGUGUACUACGCUGACCACUUGGUUAUAGCUUUACAUGUAUGCCCUGCCUGCUAGCAUCUUACACCCUCCUGUUAUGUGCUGGAUUGUCUCAGAGGCAUCUUAACACAGCCUGCACCUGGGGUCUUGCCUGGUGUGAUAGACCCCAGCCUCUGUGGAUCUUGUCCUUAGAGCUUGUUUCUGUGUUGCCAUGAUUAGUGCCUCCAUACUGGAUUCCUCGAUUGUCU
ensembl:lncRNA